rnacentral:rRNA from 1 species
GUAGGUGGCAAGCGUUGUCCGGAAUUAUUGGGGCGUAAAGCGCGCGCAGGCGGUUCUUUAAGUCUGAUGUGAAAGCCCACGGGCUCAACCGUGGGAGGGGUCAUUGGAAACUGGAGAACUUGAGUACAGAAGAGGAAAGCGGAAUUCCACGUGUAGCGGUGAAAUGCGUAGAGAUGUGGAGGAACACCAGUGGCGAAGGCGGCUUUCUGGUCUGUAACUGACGCUGAGGCGCGAAAGCGUGGGGAGCAAACAGGAUUAGAUACCCUGGUAGUCCACGCCGUAAACGAUGAGUGCUAAGUGUUAGGGGUUUCCGCCCCUCAGUGCUGCAGCUAGCGCAUUAAGCACUCCGCCUGGGGAGUACGGCCGCAAAGGCUGA